rnacentral:rRNA from 1 species
GACGAACGCUGGCGGCGUGCUUAACACAUGCAAGUCGAACGAAGUGGCGAACGGGUGAGUAACGCGUAAUCAACCUGCCCUUCAGAGGGGGACAACAGUUGGAAACGACUGCUCAUACCGCAUACUGAAGGAGGGGAUUGCGUCUGAUUAGCUAGUUGGAGGGGUAACGGCCCACCAAGGCCAUGAUCAGUAGGCGGUCUGGUAGGGUUGACGGCCAACUUGGGGAUGGGGAACGGCCCAGACUUCUAAGGGAGGCAGCAGGGGGGAAUCUUCCGCAAUGGACGGAAGGCUGGAGGGGCAACGCCGCGGGAGUGAUGACGGCCUUCGGGUUGUAAAGCUCUGUUAGUCGGGACGCGGUACCGGAAUAGAAAGCCACGGCUAACUACGUGCCAGCAGCCGCGGUAAUAC